CUGUCAUUCUUCGUUUGGUCGUUGAAGGGUUCGGACGUGUUUUUCGAAGCUCUCGACGUCGUGACCUAAUUAUAAUUUGAACUGCGCGGGUAAAAAACGCUCAGUUGCGGCUUGGACAUUGACCAAUACGGACGUGUUUUUAAAGCGCUCUGAAAAAAGUUUUGACUUUUAAAUUUUUUUUACUACGACAGAAUCUUAGUUGACUGAUGGUCUUUGACAAAGACAGACUUGUUUUUGUGAGCUCUGAAAAAAAUUUGACUUUGAAAUAUUUUUACGAUUAAAAAGUUUCAGUUGACUUUUGAACGUUGACGAAGACGGACGUACUUUCGUGAGCUCUGACUAUUGAUGAAAAGUUUUGAGUUUUACUGACUUGUACUUUGAGAGUAAAAUUGACUUCGCGUUAUAGAAUAGCGACUUGGUACUCAGGUUGUUGAAUGACUGGAUGACUGUAGUGUUAGGUUAUUGUUAUGAGAUAACAACUUGACUUUGACUUGAGUUGUGAAAUGAAAUCAUACUCUUAUGCGAUGUUAACUUUUGAACGUUUAGUAUUGACUGACAACGAACUUUUGUGAGCGUUAUAUAUGAAAUGUUUGACUUACAUUAAUUUUUUUGAACGACUUGACUUCACUUUAAGUUUUGACAUCGGACUGAUCGGACGUGUUUUUUUAAGCCCUGACUGUUGUGAAUAAUUAAAUUUAUGUUGUGGUGUCAAGCGAUUGACUGUCAGUUGAGGUUCAGAUGUCGAGCUGUGCGGACGUGUUCAUCGAGCUGCUGUCUACAAAAAACGUGAGUACAAAUUUUUUUCGUUUUACUGUUUACAAGUUGCGUGAUGAUGUAUGAUGGUUGUAAUGUGUUGGGUAGAAAUUACUCAGUGCUGAUACAGUGUCGAUAUGUUGUGAUGAGCGAUAAUAGUGGAUGAUGGUGGAACAGAAUAUUCAUUGAGCUAUUUUGAGGAAGCGAACAUAUGAUGGAAAAAUGUUGCAAAAAUAUUAAAUGACAAUGUAUUGAAUCGCUUUUGUUGAUAUGUAUGAUAUUGAUUAAAUUGUAUUUGCAUGCUGUAACAUUUCUAUUCCAUUUCAGGGGGCUGUGGUGAGUAUUGUAGUAUAAAUUUGUUUCAAUAAAUCAUGAUGAAUGAAAACUGAUUUUGAUUCGUUUUGUACAGGUUUACUUGUAUAGAAGUGUAAUGCGUUGGGUAGAAAUUAGAAUCUACUCAGUACUGAUAUAGUGUCGAUAUGUGUGAUUCGCGAUGAUGGUGUAUGAUGGUGGAACAGAACAUGAGCUACUUUGGGGAAACGAACAUAUGAUUGAACAAUGAUUGCAAACAUAUUAGAUGAAUGAUAUGAUAUUGCUUAAAUUGUAUUUGCAUGCUGUAACAUUUCUAUUUCAUUUCAGGGUGCUGUGGUGAGUACUGUAGAUUGUAGUGCAUAUGUAUAGAAUUCAAUAAAAGAUUAUGACUGAAAACUGCUUUUGAUUCUUAUUGUACAGUUUUAGGGAUUAUAAGUCUAUAGCAACUCUGUCGGUUGGUGUUCAUGAGUGUGAGCUUAAUACAGCAAUGUUUGAGUAGUACAAAAAUGUUUUCGCUUUUGUGGUCGCCAGCUGUCCGUGAUCUGUAAAGUGAAAAUACACAGAGCUAUGAAGCAUACAGAUGUUUCGAAAUUUUAUCAAUGAUUGUAUACUAUGCAUGUUUUGAUUUAGUUCGUUUCAGAUUUGACAUGAGAUGAAAACCUGACAUGAUUUGAACAGAGCUGGGAAAUGAAAAGAUUUUCAGAUGUGUGCUGGCAGUUCAAGUCUGGCAGCUGGAGUGAACAGUCGUGUUUUCUGGAGCUCCAACAAUAUGCUAGAAGGUAAGUAACUAUGUUUGUUUUGCAUUGCAUGUUUUUAUAUGUUUCAGACUUUCAAGCAGAGAUGUCAUGCUGACUGGAGUUGAGCACAGGGCAGUGACAAAGUGAAAGGUAAGUACUUUUGACUGAAUGUUUGUUCUAUGCAUGUUUUGUUUUAAUACAUUUCAGGAGUGCUUAUCCAGUGAUGAUAUGACAGUUGGAGUGAACAGUGGAGCCAAGCAGUCUUGUUUUUGGAGCUACUCAACAAGCCUUGAAGAUGCUGAUGGCAGUGAUGGGUUUUCAAGCUGACCUGAACAGAAAAGCAGUCAUAUGGUAAGUACAAAAUAGUUGUUAUAUGGGAUGUUUUGUGCAUGCUUUUAUGUUUCAGGUGUACUUGCUGACAGCGACGAAGACGAAUCAAGAAGAGGAACAUUGUUGAGACAGUGAUUGGGACUUGCAAACAGGGUAAGUGUAACACUUGUGUUUGUUUAAUUUGUAACAUGCGUGCUUUGCUCUGUUUCAGAUUUCACAUGCAGAAAUUAAACAGGAUCUCAACUGCUGAAACACAAUUCAUCAAAAGUAAGGUAAGUUUUAAUUCAUUGAUUUGAAUUGUACAAUGUGUUCUUUACUUUAUUUCAGAUUCGAGUCACUGGUUUACACAUGGAAGAAGAUUUCCACGUCUGUUACUCAACUCUACAGAAGCAAGGUAAGUCGAUCAAUUUUUUGUUUUAAUUUGUACUGCUGUAAUGUGAUGGUAAACUUAUGCUAUUUUUUAUGUGUGUCAUGUACAGAUGGAUAAUUCAAGUUUGAUCUGUGUUGGUUUAUGUUCAAAAACGUUUUACAUGUAUGUGUGUUUCCAGAUGUUUUGUUUCAGUUGAUGUCCAGAUGGCAAGCAGAACAGACGUGUUUCUUGGAUCUGCCAAACAGUGAGUACAAACGUUUUAUAUUUUUCAGUUGUGUACUCAUAGAAGUCUGUGAAAGAUGAUAGCAAGGGUAGAAUCUAUCAGUACUUGUGUCUAAAAAUGCUGAUGUGUGACGGUUUACUGAAAAGGGUAAAUGCUAGCCAGUACUUACACUUGAGCAACCGUGGGAUGUCGAACUAACUGAUGAUGUACUAUGAUGGUGAACACUUACUAUGUGUAUCAAAAUGCUUUUGUUGAUAUUUACUAUAGAUGAUUUGAUAUUGGUUAACAUUUGUUUGCAUGCUGUUAACAUUUCUAUUUCAUUUCAGGGAGCUGUGGUAAGUAUUGUAGUAUUAAUUUGUCUCAAUAAACGAUGAUGAAUGAAAACUGAUGUCGAUUCUUUUUGUACAGUUUUAGGUAUUAGCACUCUAUACAAAACUCUGUCGGUCGGUGUUUGUGAAUGUGAGCUUAAUGUUUGAGUCGAACAAAAAUGUCUUUACUUUUGUGAUCGCCAGUUGUCUGUGAUGUAAAGUGGAAAAAACACAGCUAUGAAGCAUACAAUUGUUUCAAUAUUUUAUCAAUGAUAGUGUGCUAUGCAUGUUUUGAUUUAGUUCGUUUCAGAUACGACAUGACAUGAAGAGUUGACAGUCGAACAGAGCUGAGCAAAGCAGAAAGGUAAGUGUGUUUCAUUUUAGUAUGAACACUUGUAUUUUGUUUUUAUAUGGUAUGUUUUGUGCAUGCUAUGUUUCAGGUGUACUUGUAGUCAGCGACGAAGACGAUUCAAGAAGAGGAACAUUGCUGAGAAAGUGAAUGGGACUUGCAAACAGGAUUCAAGUUUCUGGUGUAGACAGAAAAAUGUGUUUGAAGAAGGAAUUCUACUACUGUGAUUCAACUCUACAGAAGCAAGGUAAGUAGAAACAAAAUUUUGGUUUAAUUUAACUCAUGUGUUUUGCACUGCAUGCUAUUUUUCAGGUCUCUCAUGCAGUGAUGCAAAAGAAGAAGAUUUCAAGAAAGAAUCACUGCUGCAACUCAGGCCUAUAACAAGGUAAGUGUUUACUAUAUUGUAUACAAAAUGUUUCUCUGUUUUACUCUGUUUGAAGGUUUCAAUUGCAGAGAUGUUGCAGAGAUGUUUUGACAGCUUGUGACAGAAAAGAAAUUCAGCAGCUGUGUCUCGACUCUAGCCACGAGGUAAGUCAAAACAAAUAUACUGGUUUGUAUGUUAUGUUGUUAUGCCCUUCUAUGUUUCAGACUUACAUUGCUGUGACUGUUCCACAGUGGGUCAAAAAAGAGACGAAUACAGGUUUCAAGAAGAAAAUUGGCUGUUGAAAACCUGCACAAAAUAUGAGGUAAGUAAACUAUUCUUUUGGUUUGUUUUGUGCUUUGUUAUGCUUAACUAUUUUUCAGAUUGGAAUGGUGGGUCGUUACAGAGCAGACUUUUGGACAACUGAGAAGUUGAGAAACAGAGAAUGAUUCAAGAUCAGCUAGGUAAGUCUUGAUUAUUGUGCAUUGCUAAAUGUUUUUUUUUCAUUCCAGUAUGGCUGUGGUAAGUACACAAACUUUCUAUAAUUUAAUAUUGAACUGUUUUUAUGACCUGUAUUCUGCAUUGUAAAAUGUCUGUUUUUCAUUUCAGUAUCCUGUGGUAAGUACACUAACUUUCUUUAAUUUUCAUAUUGAACUGUUUUGAUGACUUGUAUUCUGCUAUACAAAAUGUGUUUUUUUCAUUUCAGUUGCCUGUGGUAAGUACACUAACUUUCUUUAAUUUUCAUAUUGAACUGUUUUGAUGACUUGUAUACUGCAUUGUAAAAUGUGUUUCUUUUUCAUUUCAGUAUGGCUGUGGUAAGUACACAAACUUUCUAUAAUUUCAUAUUGAACUGUUUUGAUGACUUGUAUUCUACUAUGCAAUGCUUAAUGUAUUUUUUCAGUAGCCUGUUGGUAAGUACAAUUGCCUUCUUUAAUUUUCAUAUUGAACUGUUUUGAUGAUGUGUAUACUGCUAUGCAAUGCUUAAUGUUUUUUUUCAUUUCAGUAUGGCUGUGGUAAGUACACAUACUUUCUAUAAUUUCAUAUUGAACUGUUUUGAUGACUUGUAUACUGCUAUGCAAAAUGUCUGUUUUUCAUUUCAGUAGCCAGUGGUAAGUACACUAACUUUCUUUAAUUUUCAUAUUGAACUGUUUUGAUGACUUGUAUUCUGCUAUACAAAAUGUGCUUUUUUCAAUUUCAGGUCAGCAAUGGUAAGUAUAGUGUGUUUCUUUAUGUAUAAUUUUGUAUACAUAUUGUUUUUUUCAUCAUAGCAUGUCUUUUAUAUUUAUGCUUUGUGUAAGUAAAAUGUUCAUAAAUCAUUCUUAUCUUCAAACUAAAAAUGUAUUGUGCUAUGCAAAAUGUCUGUAUGAUUUCAGUUGCCAGAGGUGAGUACCAUAACAGUUGAAAAGUUAGUUUUGUUUAGUUAAAGUUUUGGUUCACAGUUUUGUUUGUUAUUUGGCAAAAUUUACAUGUAUGCAUUGAGUCUUGAUUUCAGCUAGAUUGUGGACUGAAGAAGAUUGCCAGCAGAGGGAUUGGAUACAAGAUACAAAGUAAGUACUGAGUUUCUUACUAAAAGUUUUGAGUUGUAUUCAUCGUGUGUUAAUAUGCUAUGAUUGCUAUGAACAUGACUUUUGUAUUUCAGCGAAGACAACAUAGGUAAGUAAAAUUGUUAUCUGUUUCAUGUUUACUGUUACAGUUCAAUAUUGUGUUUAUAAAUUGUAAGUUGUACAAACACAUUCAAAAGUUUCUGAUCAUGCUUUCGAUUUCAUUUCAGCUUUACUGCUUGACGAGUGUUAUCAACUACUAGACGAGUCAGCUUUACUACCAGGCGAGCAGUGACAACAAGGCGCCUUUGUGGAAACAACACAACAAAAAACUCUACUGCUAGACGAGCAGUGACAGAAAGGCGCCUGAACAUGCAACACAAUACAAAAAAUGCCAAUUUGCAAACCUUGAUGUGGACACCGAGUAGUCAAUACAUACGUGUGGCGUAUAGCUGCGACAAAACCGUGGGUCCAUCGCACCGAUAACUUGAACAUUGGCCCGUGUAUGGACAUCAGUGCAACUUUGUGAAUCCAUGUAACUUUGUGAAUCCAUGUAACAUUGCGAAUGUGUGUCGAUCGAAAAAUGUGUACAUUCUGCACUGAAACGAACUCGGUGUUGCAAGUGGCAAGUGUUGACAGUGUGUAUGUUUAUGUUUAUGUUUUUACAUGAAAAAUAAAGGAGAUUGUUCUCCUACCUUUUUUUUCCUUGUUUUAUUGUGCUGGCCAGCAAUAUUGAUGUAUUGAUGUAUGUGUUUGUGUUUAAACUAUGCAAUACCAAAAUCAAACAAAAAAUAAACAUUAACAGUCA